CACCUGCAGGAUUUGAAUUUAUAAUGCCCUGCUAGAACUGUCGAGGGAAACCAUCCUCUGCGUUCUAAGUCAUCGGCGUUUUCAUACACGGCUUCUUUUCCUCUUGGGAAGCUUUCUCCGCCCUUCUUCUUUUCCGUGUUGUUUCACUGCCCUUUCGCAUUUGCUUUGUGAAGGAUCCCGCACCUACCUUUACACAGCCUUUGUCUUCUAUAUACAGCAGUUAUGCUGCUGGUUUGCCGUAUAGCUCUCUAGGGUCAAGAGAACUCACACAGGGUGAGCGACUAAGGGCGUGGCUUCAAAGGCAAGAGCUUCCCAGUGCCAUGCCUCCAUCCACCUCCCCAUCUGGGAACCUGGAGUUCUUCGUCUGACCUUCCCCUGCACGGGCUAGGUAACAAUACAGGGGUGCUCCUUUGCUUCAACAGCCCACGGAAAGCUCUGGGAGGAAGGGGCGCUGUUGCGGAUGGACAGCCAAUCCCAUACCAAAGUCGAAGAUCAAUCACUCCAGAGGAGGUUUAAAAGAACUCCUCUCAUUGGACGAGAACACGAAUGGGGUCCUAACUCACCCCAGAAAGAGUCCUGUGUGCCUUCUGUUCUACCUGGAAUCAGAGUUUCCCAGUGGGGAGCGUGCCAUCUUCCCGUGUUGGUGGAGAGUUUUGCGGUCUGCCAUGGCUUUCCUGGAUGUUACAGUGAAUGUGCUGAAAACUGUAGAGAUGGAGCUUCAUUACAUUGUUUACUCCAGUCUCGAGCUCCUGGGCUCCAGUGAUCCUGCCAUCUCAGCCUCCCACAGUGCUGCUAUUACAGAAGUGAGCCACCAUG
rnacentral:lncRNA from 13 species